CCUACGGGAGGCAGCAGUGAGGAAUAUUGGUCAAUGGCCGCAGGGCUGAACCAGCCAAGUCGCGUGAGGGAUGACGGUCCUAUGGAUUGUAAACCUCUUUUGUCAGGAAGCAAAGGGCGUCACGUGUGGCGCUUUGCGAGUACCUGAAGGAAAAGCAUCGGCUAACUCCUUGCCAGCAGCCGAGGUAAUCCGGAGGAGGCGAGCGUUAUCCGGAUUUAUUGGGUUAAAAGGGUGCGCAGCAGGAAUGUCAAGUCAGCGGUAAAAUUUCGGGGCUCAACCCCGUCGUGCCGUUGAAACUGGCGUUCUUGAGUGAGCGAGAAGUAGGCGGAAUGCGUGGUGUAGCGGUGAAAUGCAUAGAUAUCACGAAGAACUCCGAUUGCGAAGGCAGCAUACCGGAGCGCAACUGACGCUCAUGCACGAAAGCGUGGGUAUCGAACAGGAUUAGAUACCCCAGUAGUC
rnacentral:rRNA from 1 species